rnacentral:rRNA from 1 species
AGUCGAGCGAGGUCCAUCCAGUGGUAACACUGGUGAAGACCUAGCGGCGAACGGGUGAGUAACACGUGAGAAACCUGCCCCGAAGACUGGGAUAACUCUCCGAAAGGAGAGCUAAUACCAGAUGCCCUCACCGGGCCGCAUGACUUGGUGAGGAAAUGGAUUCCGCUUCGGGAGGGUCUCGCGGCCUAUCAGCUUGUUGGUGAGGUAACGGCUCACCAAGGCUUCGACGGGUAGCUGGUCUGAGAGGAUGAUCAGCCACACUGGGACUGAGACACGGCCCAGACUCCUACGGGAGGCAGCAGUGGGGAAUCUUGCGCAAUGGGCGAAAGCCUGACGCAGCAACGCCGCGUGGGGGAUGAAGGCUCUCGGGUUGUAAACCCCUUUCAGCAGGGAAGAUUAUGACGGUACCUGCAGAAGAAGCCCCGGCCAACUACGUGCCAGCAGCCGCGGUAAUACGUAGGGGGCAAGCGUUGUCCGGAUUUAUUGGGCGUAAAGAGCUUGUAGGCGGCUUGGUAAGUCGAGUGUGAAAACUCCAGGCUCAACCUGGAGACGCCAUUCGAUACUGCCAUGGCUAGAGUCCGGUAGAGGAGCACGGAAUUCCUGGUGUAGCGGUGAAAUGCGCAGAUAUCAGGAGGAACACCAGCAGCGAAGGCGGUGCUCUGGGCCGGUACUGACGCUGAGAAGCGAAAGCGUGGGGAGCGAACAGGAUUAGAUACCCUGGUAGUCCACGCCGUAAACGUUGGGCACUAGGUGUGGGUCCCUAUCGACGGGAUCUGUGCCGUAGCUAACGCAUUAAGUGCCCCGCCU